rnacentral:rRNA from 1 species
ACAGAGGGUGCAAGCGUUAAUCGGAAUUACUGGGCGUAAAGCGAGCGUAGGUGGCUUGAUAAGUCAGAUGUGAAAUCCCCGGGCUUAACCUGGGAACUGCAUCUGAAACUGUUAGGCUAGAGUAGGUGAGAGGGAAGUAGAAUUUCAGGUGUAGCGGUGAAAUGCGUAGAGAUCUGAAGGAAUACCGAUGGCGAAGGCAGCUUCCUGGCAUCAUACUGACACUGAGGCUCGAAAGCGUGGGUAGCAAACAGG